rnacentral:rRNA from 1 species
AAUAGAUACCCCGGUAGUCCACGCCGUAAACGGUGGGUACUAGGUGUAGGGGACAUUCCACGUUCUCUGUGCCGUAGCUAACGCAUUAAGUACCCCGCCUGGGGAGUACGGCCGCAAGGCUAAAACUCAAAGGAAUUGACGGGGCCCCGCACAAGCGGCGGAGCAUGCGGAUUAAUUCGAUGCAACGCGAAGAACCUUACCUGGGUUUGACAUAUACCGGAAACGUCUAGAGAUAGGCGCCCCGCAAGGUCGGUAUACAGGUGGUGCAUGCCUGUCGUCAGCUCGUGUCGUGAGAUGUUGAGUUAAGUCCCGCAACGAGCGCAACCCUCGUCCAAUGUUGCCAGCGGAUAAUGCCGGGGACUCAUUGGAGACCGCCGGGGUCAACUCGGAGGAAGGUGGGGAUGACGUCAAGUCAUCAUGCCCCUUAUGUCCAGGGCUUCACGCAUGCUACAAUGGCCGGUACAAAGAGCUGCAAACCUGCAAGGGUGAGCGAAUCUCAAAAAGCCGGUCUCAGUUCGGAUUGGGGUCUGCAACUCGACCCC